CUACGGGUUGCAGCAGUGGGGAAUAUUGGACAAUGGGGGCAACCCUGAUCCAGCAAUUCCGCGUGGAUGAUGAAGGGUUUAUGCUCGUAAAGUCCUUUUAGUUGGGAAGAUAGUGACGGUACCAACAGAAAAAGCACCGGCUAAUUACGUGCCAGCAGCCGCGGUAAGACGUAAGGUGCAAGCGUUAUCCGGAAUUACUAGGCGUAAAGGGCAUCUAGGCGGCUAUGUAAGUCAGAGGUGAAAAGUCUGGGCUCAACCGAGGCCUUGCCUUUGAUACUACAUAGCUAGAGUACGGGAGAGGAGGGCGGAACUACAAGUGUAGAGGUGAAAUUCGUAGAUAUUUGUAGGAAUGCCGAUUACGAAGGUAGCUCUCUGGACCGAUACUGACGCUAAAGUGCGAAAGCUAGGGGAGCGAACAGGAUUAGAUACCCCUGUAGUC
rnacentral:rRNA from 1 species